AGUUUCACUUUGGUUUUGGAAACCAGCAAGAGUUUGAGCCCUCCACUGAGCCCCAGGAACAACAGGAGAAGAAAAUACCCUUCCUCCAAGAACUGCACUUUCACUUGUGUUACUAGAAUCAGAGCUAACUGCAUCGUUAGUCUUCAGAACUGGCUGUUGUUGAAUUUUACUACCAAGAGGUGAAACCAACUGCUGAGAAAGACCACCACUGUUAACCCUUUCAUCAGUAUUCGAUAUAUUUCGUUUGGACAAGUCAUUUACUGCAGGAA
rnacentral:lncRNA from 1 species